ensembl:lncRNA
AUUCCUAAUGGAGAGCCAGAAGUUUCCAUAAUUAGGUUAUCUAAUCUUCUCCAGGUUUGGGUAGUGACUGCAGCACUCUGAGCAGAGAAUCCCAGACUUCCCUGACCCUGGCCACCUCUUCCAGCUCAUCAGAGAGGACACAGUCUUUCCCAACAUGUACACAUUAUGCUUACGUGUGGACGACUUUAAUGCACAAGGCUAAGAGGCAGGCAUGACCCUGGAUUCACAUGCACGAGCCUUGCUAAUAGAUUCACGGAGAUGGAAUUAGAGGAAAGUAGUUGCAGGGAGGGAGGUUUUAACAUGAUUUGUAACAGGAUCAAACUGCAUUUGCAUUGGAAUUGACAACUGAAUUUGCAUCACUGACCAAAACAUUCAAGUCCAAUCUUCUAAAUAUAUAAAUUCAUUUAUAAAUGGUUGUUCUGUGAUGUACGUUUAUUGUCCCAGUGUUAGCUGUAUAUAUGUCUGCGUGUAGAGCUUUUAUGACCAUUUAUACAAUGCUAAAAUAAACAUUGUGUGAUUGGUGUUUAUCUGUGCAUAUGAGCACAAAAUAAAGUAUCCCAGUGGUAUAGUAGCACUGAAAUUUAAUUAGCUCAUGGACACUUUUUGGCAAUAGCCUCUACUCUGAUCCUUACCAGAUGUACCUGACUCCUCAGACUAUCAGAUAUUUUACUCUCACCUUAGGAAACUCACAGGCUUGAUGGGUAAUUUUCAAUGCUCACUAUACAGUUAUUUUUCAAGCUGUUUGGAGAAAUCCAGGAAUUAAACUGACAGCUCGACA